rnacentral:miRNA from 1 species
CCAUCCAGCCACCCUUGGGGUCUGCUGGGGCCGUGGGCGAGGACCCGCCUGGAGCCCGGCGGGGCUGGCGGCCCGGCGGACGGGCUGGG